rnacentral:rRNA from 1 species
ACGGGAGGCAGCAGUGAGGAAUAUUGGUCAAUGGGCGGAAGCCUGAACCAGCCAAGUCGCGUGAAGGAUGAAGGUACUAUGUAUUGUAAACUUCUUAGCCAGGGGGCAAUAAGGCGUAUGUAUACGCCGAUGAGAGUACCUGGAGAAUAAGGAUCGGCUAACUCCGUGCCAGCAGCCGCGGUAAUACGGAGGAUCCGAGCGUUAUCCGGAUUUAUUGGGUUUAAAGGGUGCGCAGGCGGCUUUUUAAGUCAGUGGUUAAAUCGUGACGCUCAACGUCAUCACGCCAUUGAUACUGGAGAGCUUGAUUGCGGUCGAGGUUUGCGGAAUUCGUCGUGUAGCGGUGAAAUGCAUAGAUAUGACGAAGAACUCCGAUUGCGAAGGCAGCCUUCUGGAGUGCGAUUGACGCUGAGGCUCGAAAGCGCGGGUAUCAAACAGGAUUAGAUACCCUGGUA